rnacentral:rRNA from 1 species
AUUCCAGCUCCAAUAGCGUAUAUCAAAGUUGUUGCAGGUAAAAAGCUCGUAGUUGAAUUUCUGUUGGAGUGGCCUUUUGACGCUCUGCGUUAUUUGUGUCGCUCCAGCAUUUUCUCUCGCGCCACACUUCAUUGUGUGUGUCUGGGAUGUUUUACUUUGAGAAAAAUAGAGUGUUUCAAGCAGGCUGUGCCUUGAAUACUGCAGCAUGGAAUAAUGAGAUAGACCUACAUUCCUAUUUCGUUGGUUUGAGGAAUGAGUGAUGAUUAAUAGGGGUAGUUGGGGGCAUUUGUAUUCGGCUGUCAGAGGUGAAAUUCUAUGAUUUGUCGAAGACAGACAACUGCGAAAGCAUUUGCCAAGGAUAUUCUCAUUA